CGGGGGGGGCAAGCGUUGUUCGGAAUUACUGGGCGUAAAGGGCUCGUAGGCGGCCAACUAAGUCGGACGUGAAAUCCCCAGGCUCAACCUGGGAACUGCGUCCGAUACUGGAUGGCUUGAAUCCGGGAGAGGGAUGCAGCAUUCCAGGUGUAGCGGUGAAAUGCGUAGAUAUCUGGAGGAAUACCGGUGGCGAAGGCGGCAUCCUGGACCGGCAUUGACGCUGAGGAGCGAAAGCCAGGGGAGCAAACGGGAUUAGAUACCCCGGUAGUCCUGGCCCUAAACGAUGAAUGCUUGGUGUAACGGGUAUCGAUCCCUGUUGUGCCGAAGCUAACGCAUUAAGCAUUCCGCCUGGGGAGUACGGUCGCAAGGCUG
rnacentral:rRNA from 1 species